rnacentral:rRNA from 1 species
UAACUGACGCUGAGGCUCGAAAGUAUGGGUAGCAAACAGGAUUAGAUACCCUGGUAGUCCAUACCGUAAACGAUGAAUGCUAAGUGUUGGAGGGUUUCCGCCCUUCAGUGCUGCAGCUAACGCAUUAAGCAUUCCGCCUGGGGAGUACGGCCGCAAGGCUGAAACUCAAAGGAAUUGACGGGGGCCCGCACAAGCGGUGGAGCAUGUGGUUUAAUUCGAAGCUACGCGAAGAACCUUACCAGGUUUUGACAUACUAUGCAAAUCUAAGAGAUUAGACGUUCCCUUCGGGGACAUGGAUACAGGUGGUGCAUGGUUGUCGUCAGCUCGUGUCGUGAGAUGUUGGGUUAAGUCCCGCAACGAGCGCAACCCUUAUUAUCAGUUGCCAGCAUUAAGUUGGGCACUCUGGUGAGACUGCCGGUGACAAACCGGAGGAAGGUGGGGAUGACGUCAAAUCAUCAUGCCCCUUAUGACCUGGGCUACACACGUGCUACAAUGGAUGGUACAACGAGUUGCGAACUCGCGAGAGUAAGCUAAUCUCUUAAAGCCAUUCUCAGUUCGGAUUGUAGGCUGCAACUCGCCUACAUGAAGUCGGAAUCGCUAGUAAUCGCGGAUCAGAAUGCCGCGGUGAAUACGUUCCCGGGCCUUGUACACACCGCCCGUCACACCAUGAGAGUUUGUAACACCCAAAGUCGGUGGGGUAACCUUUUAGGAACCAGCCGCCUAAGGUGGGACAGAUGAUUAGGGUGAAGUCGUAACAAGGUAGCCGUAGGAGAACCUGCGGCUG